AUUAUUAAAAUUUUGAAACAGAUAGAUUCAAUAAAUGUAGAAAUGUGUUGCUCUGAAAACAAAAUAAACGACAAUUUAAAUAAUUUUAAAGAUGUUUUAAAUUCAAUUCUAUAACAAAAAUUAAUACUGUUCCUAACCAGAACUUAACUUUAUUUUUUAAACAUAAAAUUGUGUACCACCUUGAACUGAAAAUAGUGUCAACUUCAAAAAUUGUGUGACAUGAAACAAAAGCUUGGGACACAUUUUGAAAAAGGAAAGUCCUCUUCCUGAGGGAUCAACUGAAAGACAAUUGGCCUCUCUUGGGAUCAUUGCAUGUCGUAUUACUCUUCAUUCUUUUUUUGGUCUUGCCGCGA
ensembl:ncRNA R13A1.15 ncRNA